rnacentral:lncRNA from 1 species
UGAAAGCAACUCCGGGGAUAAAGCUAGUGAUCAACUUUAUGCGAUCUAAUUUUGGCUGGAAUGGAUUACUGGAGAACAUUGUCUUCCCUACCACAAAUCUAUUGCAGGUUAACCAAAUUCUCAACUUCCCCUUCUGGCAAAGCCUGUACUGCACUUAUUCUAUAUCGUUUUUUUUUUGGGGGGGUGAUGGACCAAUUCAAAACUUGGAGCAAGUUCCUGACAUUAUCAUUCAAAUUGCAUUUAUAAAAGAAACUCAAAAAUCGCUUUACUUUAUUCAUAGCAUUACCCAAAAAUCGUGUUUUUUUUUUUAAUGGAAUCGCUAGGUUGUAUGUUAGUACACAAAAACUUCUACUUUCAAUAUUACUGCAGUAAUUGCUACCAAAUUAUUACAGCAACUCAAUAACUGAACCAAAGAAGCUAGAUGUUGAAAUUAAUUGAAGUGGCUCAGCCUCAGCCUCAGCUCUCCAUUGUUUUAUUACACUUAUAUUUUAAACCAUAUUCAUCCGCAGGUUAUGGACCAUUUUCUUCUGGAUGACGCCAGUAACCGUGCCCCCCGGGCUUAUCAUAAGGAUUCGUCGCUGUAAGAUCAGCACCAACAAAUUAAAAAAAAAAAUUGUCAAUUAAUUAUCAGCUGAUUAAUUUGAAUUCCCUCUAUUGAAUUGAUAACAAAAGAAAUCUUACAUCAAUUAAAUUAAAAUAUUUUGAGCACAUAAAUAUAACUAAAGUCACUUCAUCUAUUAUCAAUUUAUUUUAAUGGGAUAUCCUUCUAAAAUUUAACCUCCAACAAAAAUAUAUAUAGUAAAUACCUAAAUUUAAUUAAAAAAGUACUAUAUAUAUAUAUACAUAUUAUAUAGUUGGGAAAGCCACUGAGGGCUGUAAAACUAAUUUCCCAUUUUUCUUUCUUGUUUAUAUAUGGUAAGUAAUAUUUAAUCAGUCGCUUGAAUUAAUGAGCAUGUUUUGUGUGAUUACUUAGCACAGAAAGAAAAAGUAGUUGAUGCAUAUAGACAUAGCACAAUUAAACAUAUUAUUAUGAUAUCUCAGACUACCUAUAUAUAAUAAUAAAAUUCUAGGCCAUGAAAUGAAGUAAAUACUCAAGAAGCUAGGCCAGGCUAUAAUCCUUACGAGGUUGGAUCAUUAUGAGUUUCCUUGACGCCAUGGCAGAGCCUAGAAGGAGAAUACUAAAAACCAAGAGAACCUGGGCGAAGAGUAAUAUAAGCUUCUUAGAACCCAU